rnacentral:rRNA from 3 species
UACAGAGGUGGCAAGCGUUGUUCGGAAUUACUGGGCGUAAAGGGCGCGUAGGCGGCCAUCUAAGUCAGACGUGAAAUCCCCCGGCUUAACCUGGGAACUGCGUCUGAUACUGGGAGGCUCGAGUUUGGGAGAGGGAUGUGGAAUUCCAGGUGUAGCGGUGAAAUGCGUAGAUAUCUGGAGGAACACCGGUGGCGAAGGCGGCAUCCUGGACCAACACUGACGCUGAGGCGCGAAAGCUAGGGGAGCAAACGGG